GGAUGAACGCUGACAGAAUGCUUAACACAUGCAAGUCUACUUGAACUUCGGUUUGGGUGGCGGACGGGUGAGUAACGCGUAAAGAACUUGCCUCACAGAUAGGGACAACAUUUGGAAACGAAUGCUAAUACCUGAUAUUAUGAUUUUAGGGCAUCCUAGAAUUAUGAAAGCUAUAUGCACUGUGAGAGAGCUUUGCGUCCCAUUAGCUAGUUGGAGAGGUAACGGCUCACCAAGGCGAUGAUGGGUAGCCGGCCUGAGAGGGUGAUCGGCCACAAGGGGACUGAGACACGGCCCUUACUCCUACGGGAGGCAGCAGUGGGGAAUAUUGGACAAUGGACCAAGAGUCUGAUCCAGCAAUUCUGUGUGCACGAUGAAGUUUUUCGGAAUGUAAAGUGCUUUCAGUUGGGAAGAAAAAAAUGACGGUACCAACAGAAGAAGUGACGGCUAAAUACGUG
rnacentral:rRNA from 1 species